GACGAACGCUGGCGGCGUGCCUAAUACAUGCAAGUCGAACGAAGCUGUUUUAACUGGUGCUUGCACCGACUUAAACAACUGAGUGGCGAACGGGUGAGUAACACGUGGGUAACCUGCCCCAAAGCGGGGGAUAACAUUUGGAAACAGAUGCUAAUACCGCAUAACCACAGAAACCACAUGGUUUCUGUGUCAAAGAUGGUUUCGGCUAUCACUUUGGGAUGGACCCGCGGCGUAUUAGCUAGUUGGUAAGGUAAUGGCUUACCAAGGCAAUGAGACGUAGCCGAACUGAGAGGUUGAGCGGCCACAAUGGGACUGAGACACGGCCCAUACUCCUACGGGGGGCAGCAGUAGGGAAUCUUCCACAAUGGGCGCAAGCCUGAUGGAGCAACACCGCGUGAGUGAAGAAGGGUUUCGGCUCGUAAAACUCUGUUGUUAAAGAAGAACGUAUCUAAGAGUAACUGCUUAGGUAGUGACGGUAUUUAACCAGAAAGCCACGGCUAACUACGUGCCAGCCGCCGCAGUAA
rnacentral:rRNA from 1 species